AAAGGCUUUAACCUUUCUCUUUCCCCACUUAGUUGUUUCCUCGUGGAUGAUCAUUAUUUCAGUUUCCUCCCCAGUUGAUUAUCUGGAUGGAACCACUCCCCUUGAGUUACAUCCUCUUUGGGUUGAGUCUUUAAUUGGCUUUUCUUUCUAGUUUUUUCCUAGAUAGAUGCUUUUGGUCCCCUGAGAGCCUAUUACCCAGUAACUAGUAAUAUUAUUCUCAUGUUUGUCA
rnacentral:lncRNA from 1 species